CUGAAUCUCAUUGCAGCUGCUGACCACUGCACAAGAUUAGAUUAUGACUCUUGUGCGUGUGACAACGGCUAUUGUGGGCAUUCCAAAUCAACCAG
rnacentral:pre_miRNA from 14 species